CUUUUCCCGGGUCGGAUCAGAAAGAGGAAAGAGAGAAGGAGACAGUAGUGGUUGUCAAUGGCAACCUUCUCCUUCUCCCUCUCCACUUCUCCUCUUCCUCUCAAGCGCCUAUCUUUUUCAUCCUUACCAAAUUUUCGUUCCAUCAAAAUUCCUAAUAAAUCUUCAACCUUACGAACUGCUUCAAUUUUUGCUUCUUCAGCAUCUUCCUUUGAUGGUUUCAGUGCGAGCAAUCAGAAUUCUCGAUCCAAGGUUAGCUGUGAUACCUAAUUUGCAUAUUCUAAUCUGUUUUUGUUAAUUUGGUUUUACUAUGUAUGCUACAGUUCAUAGUAGUUUGGGGUACUGUUUUGCUGCUAAACGUAAAUUAACUUGCCUUUUAUGUCUCUAUAUAUGGAAAGUCAUUGCCAAUUUGUGUUAAUUGGAUUUUGAUUUGUGCACAUAAGGCACUGACUGGCGAACUUGGAUACUAUAUAUAUACACACUGAUUUUUUUUAAAAGAACAUGUAUAUCUGUUAGAGUUGCAUUUGUUGUCUUUAAAUUUGGGACAUGCUGUGGUCGGCUAGGAGAUGAGUUUUAACUUUUAAGUAAAGAGACAAAUUAAUUUGGCUUUAGAGUUUUACUCAUUCCAAUGAUGUAGAUUCAGGGAUGCAUAUGAUCGUCUAUCUUGUAACUUAUUAUGGGAAUGAAAAUGUAUGAUAAUAUUCGAGGUCACUAACUACAGACGUUUGACAUUGUUCUUAAAACAUGGAGGGAUACUUAUAUUAUCAUAUUGGCACCCAAGGGUGUGGCCUAGUGGUCAAUGAAGU
rnacentral:lncRNA from 1 species